UCCUCUUCAACGGUUGGUUCGUCAUGUUUCUCUUCAAAUGAUAGUUCCUUAGGUGUUCCUUCAGGUUUCUCCUCAAUUGUUGGUUCUUUGGUUGUCUCUCCAACCAAUGGUUCUUCAAGCUUUUCUCCUCCAACUGUUGGGUUUUCAGGUUUCUCUUCAAUUGUCGGCUGUUUAGGUAUUUUCUCAACCUCUGGUUCUUCUGGUUUCUCCAAAACCCUUGAUUCUUCAGACUUCUCUUCAAUAGCUGAUUCUUCAGAUUUCUCUUCAACUACUGGUUCUUCAGUUUUUUCCUCAACUAAUGCAUAGUUAGCAAUGUCAUUGUUGGUAUUGCAUGGAAUUGCAUUGUCUGUAUUGUCCUCUGCGUUUACAAUCGGCAAUUUCUGCAAGAAAAUUUAAAGUUUCAUUUUGUCUUUAAAUAGAUAAACAUAUAUUAAUUCGUUGCACAUAUAAAGCUUAUAUGGUGGAUUAACUUUGUGACAGUAUUUAAUCCUCACCUUCUCCUGAAGAGCUUUCCUAACAAGUUCCUCCUCUUCAAUAGCUGUUUCUUCAUCUUUCUCUUCAAGAACUAGUUCUUCAGGUGUCUCUUCAAGUGCUAGUUCUUCAGGUGCUUCCUCCUUUGCUAGCUCUUCAGCUGUUUCUUUAGCUGCCGCUUCUUCAGGUCUCUCUUUAGACGCCGGUUCUUGAGGUUUCUCCUCAACCAGUACUUCAGAUUUCUCCUCAAAUGUUGGUUCUUCAGGUUUCUCCUUAACUGCUGGUACAUCAGGUUUCUGUUCAAUGACUGAUUCUUCAGUUUUUUCUUCAACUGCCGACACUUCAGGAUUUUCCUCAAUGUCUGGAAAGUGAGCAACAUCAUUACCGGUAUUGCAUGGAAUUUCACUACCAGUUUUGUCGUUCAAGUCUACAAUUAGCAUAGUCUGCAAAAUGAAGUGAAUGUUUACUUUGCCUUCCAAUAAAGAAGCAGAUGUGAAUCACAGUACAUACAUGACUUAAACUUUGUGAUAGUGCUUGACCCUUACUUUUUCAGGUUUCUCCUCUUCAACGGCUGGUUCUUCAUGUUUCUCUCCAACUGCUGGUUUUUCAGGUUUCUCUUCAACUGUCGGUUGUUCAGUUUUUUUCUCAACCACUAGUUCUUCAAGCUUCUCCGAAACAACUGAUUCUUCAGAUUUAUCUUCAAUUGCUAAUUCUUCAUGUGUUUUUCCAACUACUGGUUCGUUAGGUUUUUCCUCAACUGAUGCAUAGUUAGCAAUAUCAU
rnacentral:lncRNA from 1 species